GGCGGACGGGUGAGUAACGAGGAAUCUACCUAGUAGAAGGGGAUAGCCCGAGGAAACUCGGAUUAAUACCGUAUACCUCCUUCGGGAGAAAGAAGGCCUCUCUUUGAAGCUUUCGCUACUAGAUGAGCCUGCGUAAGAUUAGCUUGUUGGUGAGGUAAAGGCUCACCAAGGCGACGAUCUUUAGCGGGUCUGAGAGGACGAUCCGCCACAUUGGGACUGAGACACGGCCCAGACUCC
rnacentral:rRNA from 1 species